rnacentral:rRNA from 1 species
UUCUGGCGGGCCCACUGGGGUCACCUGGUCGCUGGGGGACGCCCGUCCCCGGGCCCGCGCCCGCCGAAGCACCUCCUGAACUCUGAAGAAGAUAGGGCUCGUCUGAGUACCUAGAAAAUUCGUCAAAACUUUCAACAACGGAUCUCUCGGUUCCGGCAUCGAUGAAGAACGCAGCGAAAUCGCGAUAAGUAAUGUGAAUUCGCAGAAUUCCGUGAAUCAUCGAAUCUUUGAACGCACAUUGCGCCCCCUGGCAUUCCGGGGGGCAUGCCUGUCCGAGCGUCAUUUCUGCCCUCAAGCACGGCUUGUGUGUUGGGGUGUGGUCCCCCCGGGGACCUGCCCCAAAGGCAGCGGCGACGCCCGUCGGGUCCUCGAGCGCAUGGGGCUUUGUCACUUGCUCGGGAGGGACCUGGCGGGGGUUGGUCACCACCAAAUCUUUUACGGUUGACCUCGGAUCAGGUAGGAGUUACCCGCUGAACUUAAGCAUAUCA